AACUAGAGAACAGUGACCACACAGCUCUGGGGGCAAGCAAAACCCACUGGAAUGGGUGAGCUGUCUGGCUUGUGAGUCAUAUCUCGAUAAAGCUGCUACGGAGAACAUCUCAGGAUGAGAAAACGUAGGCUCAGAAAGGAUCGGUGAGAUGCUCCAGACCACACAACAAAUAGGAUCCCCGGCCGGAACCAGGACUGGAAUCCAACCCAGGUCUGCCUCAUCCCAAGCCUCGGCUCCUAAACGCUGCUGUUUCGGGGUAUAGCCCCUCUACGGUUGUAUUUGUGUGAAGACAUGUCAUUGGAUACAGAGUGAAGGAUAAGAGCUGGCAGAUGGUCGAGGGAUACACAAUCACAAGAGCUUGGACACCGCUGUUCUGCAGGACAGAAGCCCUAAAGUGGGUUGAGCGGAAAUAAUGGCCUUCUUGCUGCCUCUUGAUUUGCAGUGUCCUCACAA